AUUGGUGUUUAUGGUUAGGUACAUUGAUGUUUAUGGUUAGGUACAUUGAUGUUUAUGGUGAGGUACAUUGAUGUUUAUGGUUAGGUACAUUGAUGUUUAUGAUGAGGUACAUUGAUGUUUAUGAUGAGGUACAUUGAUGUUUAUGGUUAGGUACAUUGAUGUUUAUGAUGAGGUACAUUGAUGUUUAUGGUUAGGUACAUUGAUGUUUAUGGUUAGGUACAUUGAUGUUUAUGAUGAGGUACAUUGAUGUUUAUGGUUAGGUACAUUGAUGUUUAUGGUGAGGUACAUUGAUGUUUAUGGUUAGGUACAUUGAUGUUUAUGGUUAGGUACAUUGAUGUUUAUGAUGAGGUACAUUGAUGUUUAUGGUUAGGUACAUUGAGGUUUAUGGUUAGGUACAUUGAUGUUUAUGGUUAGGUACAUUGAUGUUUAUGGUGAGGUACAUUGAUGUUUAUGGUUAGGUACAUUGAUGUUUAUGGUUAGGUACAUUGAUGUUUAUGAUGAGGUACAUUGAGGUUUAUGGUUAGGUACAUUGAUGUUUAUGGUUAGGUACAUUGAUGUUUAUGAUGAGGUACAUUGAGGUUUAUGGUUAGGUACAUUGAGGUUUAUGGUGAGGUACAUUGAGGUUUAUGGUGAGGUACAUUGAUGUUUAUGGUUAGGUACAUUGAUGUUUAUGGUUAGGUACAUUGAUGUUUAUGAUGAGGUA